GCCGAAGUAGCUCAGCGGUAGAGCAACUGAUUCGUAAUCAGUAGGUCGUCAGUUCAAUCCUGACCUUCGGCUCCA
rnacentral:tRNA from 1 species